rnacentral:lncRNA from 1 species
UGUAACAAAAAGGUGAUUUAAGAGAGAAAAGAACAUAGAAUUAUAUGGCCAAGACUAGUGUGAUGCAUGCAAUCAUAUUAUUGAUGAUUGGAGUGCUUAUUUGUAUUGGCAGUGCUAAAUUUCAUGAAAAUAUUCCUAUGAAAUCUUGGGCAACUCCAUCUUAUUAUAUUAUUGCAGGAGGAAGAGGAAGAACUGCACUAGGAAAGUGUACCAAGUAUUGUCGAGAUGAGUAUGCAGAAGAUCUAAGAAAGACAAAAGAGUGCAUUAAGAAAUGCGUUGUCCUUGAAUGUGAGGAACGCCAUGGGAAUGAUCCAAGAAAGAAGAAAGAAUGCAUUAAUAAACUUUAUGCUAGGUUCACCCAAAUAAUAAAAAAAUAAGCAUAUACAAGUUGUUGUGAAUUUUUUUUGAAAUUCUUAAUUUUAUAAUUCCUCGUAUUUUAUUAUUUUAUAUGAAUAUUUGAUGUGAUAAUUUUAAUUUCUCCCUCUUUUAUGUUGAGAGAGUACUGAAUCA